CAUUCGUUCGUACACUCAAGACUGGUUGCUUCUUUGUUUCUAAAACUAGUUUCUUGCGCUUCUAUGUAACUUGGGGUGAAGUUACGUGUUUGCAAGCGGACAUGUAAGCCCGGCAGUUGGGUUUCGGUCGUGAGCCAUUCGGAACAGGUCUGCAUCGAAACGGGAGCUGGAUUUUGCUGCGGCUGACAACGGCAAUAACGACAUGCAGUAAUGAGGACGGCACCAGUAUAAAGCAACACACUCCACGCACUAAACAGAAGCUGCUGCCUGCUACGACAAGGUCAUUGUGUAGACAUUGGCUACUACUACAAGAGUCUAUGCCAAGCACAUCUUGGUCAUCACAGGAGCUCCUAUCUGCACCAACAGGAAGGGGCUGGAGCCGAAUUUGCAAGGGUUUUACACCAAGAACAAAGAAGCACAUGCACAAGAAUAUGGAUGAGAUAUCAAGUCUGCAAAGGACUGUGUUAAGACUGCAAAGAGCUUCAGCCACCAUUCCACCAGCACGGACAUUUGGCUGAGUCAUCCAAGUAACUCAAAAAGGACUUUCUAGAAAUUCUUCGUCUUCAGAUGCACCUGCAACAUCUGACCAAGCACGGACGACGCUGACCAAAAGAUUGAGUUUCAUCAGUUCGUCCUUAAUCAGCUUCCAAGCCAUGUUAAUUCCGUUUGUGCGAAGUGUAAUUUUUCUUCUAUAAAUGCAAGCUUUCUCAUUGCC